rnacentral:rRNA from 1 species
AUUGAACGCUGGCGGAAUGCUUUACACAUGCAAGUCGAACGGCAGCACGGGGCAACCUGGUGGCGAGUGGCGAACGGGUGAGUAAUACAUCGGAACGUGCCCAAUCGUGGGGGAUAACGUAGCGAAAGUUACGCUAAUACCGCAUACGAUCUACGGAUGAAAGCGGGGGAUCGCAAGACCUCGCGCGAAUGGAGCGGCCGAUGUCAGAUUAGGUAGUUGGUGGGGUAAAGGCUCACCAAGCCGACGAUCUGUAGCUGGUCUGAGAGGACGAUCAGCCACACUGGGACUGAGACACGGCCCAGACUCCUACGGGAGGCAGCAGUGGGGAAUAUUGGACAAUGGGCGCAAGCCUGAUCCAGCCAUUCCGCGUGCAGGAUGAAGGCC